rnacentral:rRNA from 1 species
UACGUAGGGGGCGAGCGUUGUCCGGAUUUAUUGGGCGUAAAGAGCGUGUAGGCGGCCAGGUAGGUCCGUUGUGAAAACUCGAGGCUCAACCUCGAGACGCCGAUGGAAACCAUCUGGCUAGAGUCCGGAAGAGGAGAGUGGAAUUCCCGGUGUAGCGGUGAAAUGCGCAGAUAUCAGGAGGAACACCGGUGGCGAAGGCGGGUCUCUGGGCCGAUACUGACGCUGAGGAGCGAAAGCGUGGGGAGCGAACAGG